AAACAUUGUAUUAAGUUGGUGCAAAAGUAAUUGUGGUUUUGACAUUAAAAGUAAUGGCAAAACCCACAAUUACUUUUGCACCAACCUAAUAA
ensembl:miRNA